GGUUUGUGGUUCAGUGGUAGAGCACUUGCCUCGCAUGCGUGUGGCACUGGGUUCAAUCCUCAGCACCA
rnacentral:tRNA from 1 species